rnacentral:rRNA from 1 species
UACGUAGGGUGCAAGCGUUAAUCGGAAUUACUGGGCGUAAAGCGUGCGCAGGCGGUUUUGUAAGUCAGAUGUGAAAGCCCCGGGCUCAACCUGGGAACUGCGUUUGAAACUGCAAGGCUAGAGUGUAGCAGAGGGGGGUAGAAUUCCACGUGUAGCAGUGAAAUGCGUAGAGAUGUGGAGGAAUACCAAUGGCGAAGGCAGCCCCCUGGGUUAACACUGACGCUCAUGCACGAAAGCGUGGGGAGCAAACAGG